AUGACCUGCUCAUGAGAAAUCACGAAAAUCGACCCACUGGGUCUACACCACUGCCUGAAGCAGAUAAGGUGUAUUCUCAUUAUGCCAAUCAUGAAAUGGGCCAUGGAUCUAAUCAUGGUCGUGGUCGUAAUCGGGGUCAUAGCCGUAAACGUAGACAAGAAAGAAAUUUCCAUGAUGUCCGUCACCCCCCAAGGAGAGAUAACCGCUGAAAGCAGAAACG
rnacentral:lncRNA from 1 species